rnacentral:rRNA from 1 species
ACGAACGCUGGCGGCGUGCUUAACACCUGCCAGUCGAACGGAAAGGCCCUGCUUUUGUGGGGUGCUCGCGUGGCGAACGGGUGAGUAACACGUGAGUAACCUGCCCUUGACUUUGGGAUAACUUCAGGAAACUGGGGCUAAUACCGGAUAGGCGCUCCUGCUGCAUGGUGGGGGUUGGAAAGUUUCGGCGGUUGGGGAUGGACUCGCGGCUUAUCAGCUUGUUGGUGGGGUAGUGGCUUACCAAGGCUUUGACGGGUAGCCGGCCUGAGAGGGUGGCCAGCCACAUUGGGACUGAGAUACGGCCCAGACUCCUACGGGAGGCAGCAGUGGGGAAUAUUGCACAAUGGGCGGAAGCCUGAUGCAGCAACGCCGCGUGCGGGAUGACGGCCUUCGGGUUGUAAACCGCUUUCGCCUGUGACGAAGCGUGAGUGACGGUAAUGGGUAAAGAAGCACCGGCUAACUACGUG